rnacentral:rRNA from 1 species
CCCUUGGAUGUCCUGGGCUGCACGCGCGCUACACUGAUGUGUCCAGUAAGCACCUAACCUCUUCCGAAAGGAACGGGUAACCUUUGCAAAGCACAUCGUGAUGGGGAUAGAUUAUUGCAAUUAUUAGUCUUGAACGAGGAAUUCCUAGUAAGCACAAGUCAUCAGCUUGUGUUGAUUACGUCCCUGCCCUUUGUACACACCGCCCGUCGCUCCUACCGAUUGAAUGUUCCGGUGAGCUCUUCGGACUGCGCGGUCUGCAGUUUCUGCGUUCCGUGCGGAAAGUUGCGCAAACCUUAACAUUUAGAGGAAGGAGAAGUCGUAACA